rnacentral:rRNA from 1 species
AGGGAAACCGAGUCUUAACUGGGCGUUAAGUUGCAGGGUAUAGACCCGAAACCCGGUGAUCUAGCCAUGGGCAGGUUGAAGGUUGGGUAACACUAACUGGAGGACCGAACCGACUAAUGUUGAAAAAUUAGCGGAUGACUUGUGGCUGGGGGUGAAAGGCCAAUCAAACCGGGAGAUAGCUGGUUCUCCCCGAAAGCUAUUUAGGUAGCGCCUCGUGAAUUCAUCUCCGGGGGUAGAGCACUGUUUCGGCAAGGGGGUCAUCCCGACUUACCAACCCGAUGCAAACUGCGAAUACCGGAGAAUGUUAUCACGGGAGACACACGGCGGGUGCUAACGUCCGUCGUGAAGAGGGAAACAACCCAGACCGCCAGCUAAGGUCCCAAAGUCAUGGUUAAGUGGGAAACGAUGUGGGAAGGCCCAGACAGCCAGGAUGUUGGCUUAGAAGCAGCCAUCAUUUAAAGAAAGCGUAAUAGCUCACUGGUCGAGUCGGCCUGCGCGGAAGAUGUAACGGGGCUAAACCAUG